rnacentral:pre_miRNA from 1 species
UCACUACUCCCUCCGUUCCAAAUUACUCGUCGCAGAAAUGGAUGUAUCUAGAACUAAAGUACAUCUAGAUACAUCCAUACCUGCGACGAGUAAUUCGGAACGGAGGGAGUACUUU